rnacentral:rRNA from 1 species
UACGUAGGGUGCAAGCGUUGUCCGGAAUUAUUGGGCGUAAAGAGCUCGUAGGCGGCUCGUCGCGUCGGCUGUGAAAACCUGGGGCUCAACCCUGGGCCUGCAGCCGAUACGGGCAAGCUAGAAUUCGGUAGGGGAGACUGGAAUUCCUGGUGUAGCGGUGAAAUGCGCAGAUAUCAGGAGGAACACCGGUGGCGAAGGCGGGUCUCUGGGCCGAUAUUGACGCUGAGGAGCGAAAGCGUGGGGAGCAAACAGG